AUGGCUCCUGGUUUAGCCUGCGUCACAACAGACUAUAUACACUCCUGGUUAGGUUAAAAUUGUGUGUGAAACUCAUUAAUAAUUCAUGAAGAAAACACAAAAGAAAUCAUGAACGUGAAGGAGUUUGUAUAUCUGAUACAAAAUCAUGUUGAUUUACAUAAACUUUAAGUUCAAUUUUCUCACCAAAUAUCAUUGAUUUAUUUCAAAUUGUUGAAGAAUACGAAUGUUCUCAUCAAGACGAGUUUCACAAGCCAUUUACAACAUUCGCGCCCAAGCCUUGUAUCGGAUACACAACACGGCCACUCAAGUUGUAAAUAAUAUUUAUAAUCUCCGCCCUCUGAAAUUUCCAACUACAGAAACCCUUUAUGCAAUUGUUGUUCUAUCGAGAAAAAUACCCAAAAUAUCUCAGUAGGAAAGGCUCUACUCCCAUCUGCUUUUUCGCCACGUUUUCGCCACUUUCUGGGAAUAUUUCAGAGUCGGAUUUGGGGGUUGGUCAUUGUCCUCGUCCAUAUUUGUCCCUAGAGUCCAUCUCUGUGAUCUUUAGCGCUUUGCAGGCUUACUCGCAAAUCUUCCAAUUUCUCCUUUAUCAUCUGAUGGUCCGCUUCUAGCUUCGGUAAGGACUCGUAGUAAACACUUGCUCUGCCAGGAAACAGCGACAUCCACAUCCAACCACCACCCAAAACACAACCUCCUAAUUGCAACACAUCCAUGGAUGAUUGACUGGACUCUUGAUAGCGCUUCCAGAAAAAAUAGCUCGAGAAACACCAACCU